UACAGGGAAGAGCAUGUGCACUCCGCUGAGGCCAAAGUUAUGCUCUCCGCCAAAAAGACAGACGCGUCUCUUCCCCCGCUCACAUCUCAUCUCUGCGAUCCCUACGCUGGUCCAUCCCUCCGACCAGUAUCCAUCCCACCCUAAGGGUUCAUUGGAGAGCAGAUCAGCCGACGUGGUGAGCAGCCCGGGGGUUUGGUUCGCCGGCUCUCCCUGGACGUGUGAGCGUCGGUAGAUCCAGUCCGAUCACAGCACGGAACCACCCAGCUGGGGGAGCCGUUGGGAGGUCAGGCAUCAUGACCAGUGUUAACUCUCCAGCCUGUCUACUAGCCAGAAAUCACUUCAAGAGAAGUCCUUGGACAGUGCUGGAGUCGAGCGGACAGACGGACGCCUCCGGCAGACAGAGACACAGACAGAUGACACUGCGGGUCACAGUGACAAUACCCCCAGGAUUCCCGGGGGGAUUCGGCACCCGAGGACUGUGGGUCAGCUUGGUCCUGGGUUCUUCCUCCCUCCCUCGCACCUCCCUCACCAAGCCUUCGGACAGUCCAGCCAACCCGAAGGGGAAAUAGGAAGAACGAAACAAACCCCAUUGGCCGUCAAACCAGAGGACCGUUUCUCCUUCUGAAUGGGCACCGCAAAUGAACAAACACUUAAAAAGAGUCCUAGUGGGUGGUUGCUACAAAAGCCCUAGCAAUGGAAAACCACAACAUAAUUCCUAGCAACAGAUUACUGCUACAUAAUUCCAAGCAGUGGGUUACUGCUACAUAAGUCCUAGCAGUGGUAUACUGCUACAUAAGUCCUCCUAGCAGCGGGUUACUGCUACAUAAGUCCUAGCAGUGGUAUACUGCUACAUAAGUCCUAGCAGUGGGUUACUGCUACAUAAGUCCUAGCAGUGGGUUACUGCUACAUAAGUCCUAGCAGUGGGUUACUGCUACAUAAGACCUAGCAGUGGUAUACUGCUACAUAAGUCCUAGCAGUGGGUUACUGCUACAUAAGUCCUAGCAGUGGGUUACUGCUACAUAAGUCCAAGCAGUUGGUUACUGCAACAUAAGUCCUAGCAGUGGGUUACUGCUACAUAUGUCCUCCUAGCAGUGGUAUACUGCUAAAUAAGUCCUCCCAGCAGUGGGUUACUGCUACAUAAGUCCUCCUAGCAGUGGGUUACUGCUACAUAAGUCCUAGCAGUGGGUUACUGCUACAUAAGUCCUCCUAGCAGUGGUAUACUGCUACAUAAGUCCUCCUAGCUGUGAGUUAUUGCUGCAUAAGUCCUCCUAGCAGUGGGUUACUGCUACAUAAGUCCUAGUCCUAGCAAUGGGUUAAUUCUACAUCAAUUCCUACUCCUAGCAGUGAGUUACUUCUACGUAAUUCCUACUUCUAGCAGUGGGCUUCUGCUACAGAAGACCUUUGUCUAGAAGUGGGUUGCUACUUCUUAACUCUUGUGGGUCCUCAGACAUUCUGGAAACAGUAUAGAAAGUUUCCAACACUCAAGGCAGGAAAAUUUAAACUAUUUGAGAGUUGAAUGUAUCCCAGCAGGCCAAGCUUCUGCCAAAGGAGCCUCAUGUUUCGAUCAGACGAGGGGAGGGGAUUAAGCAUGCCGCUGUUCCCAGUUAGAAGGACGGCUGUCUUGAAAAAUAUCUAUACCACUUUCUAAUAACAUGGGCUGUCACAAUUAAAACAGUACGAUUUUAGUUAGUUUGUUAUAUUUAUUGUUUACUAUGUGAAUGGUUUGUAAGUACAAUCUCAAGGAACGUUUGUUUUUCUCUCCGAUUUAUCUAGAUACAGGUUAGCCAGUGCUCAAUCUUCUUGAGCUUCACUACCAUGGCCUGUAUAGGAGUUUGCUAAACAUGAUCCAAAAAAUGAUAUAGGAAGGAGAGAGGUAGGAAUUAAGACAAUUUCUCCUAGAAGGGAAUAUACAGAAAAAGAAGAGGAAAUAGGGCAGGAGGGAUACUGGGAUUGACAGGUGGGUAUCAUAGAUACCAACCUGUAUUGAAAUGUAAUACAUUGGUUCAGAUUUAUUUGAAACAAUGCAAUUUAUGUGAUUUAUUUAACCCUUCACAAUCUGAUAUUUACAUUUAUUGUAGCACAACUACAAUAAAUGUAACCCUAAUUUGAUCCCGUAAGACAGCGAGUGACUGAGAUGUUCCGCCAGACAGGGGGGAAAUUGGAUUGUUCGGGCCCCAUUUUAAUG